rnacentral:rRNA from 1 species
CCUACGGGUGGCAGCAGUGAGGAAUAUUGGUCAAUGGACGAGAGUCUGAACCAGCCAAGUAGCGUGAAGGAUGACUGCCCUAUGGGUUGUAAACUUCUUUUAUAUGGGAAUAAAACGUUCCACGUGUGGGAUUUUGUAUGUACCAUAUGAAUAAGGAUCGGCUAACUCCGUGCCAGCAGCCGCGGUAAUACGGAGGAUCCGAGCGUUAUCCGGAUUUAUUGGGUUUAAAGGGAGCGUAGGUGGAUUGUUAAGUCAGUUGUGAAAGUUUGUGGCUCAACCGUAAAAUUGCAGUUGAAACUGGCAGUCUUGAGUACAGUAGAGGUGGGCGGAAUUCGUGGUGUAGCGGUGAAAUGCUUAGAUAUCACGAAGAACUCCGAUUGCGAAGGCAGUUCACUGGACUGCAACUGACACUGAGGCUCGAAAGUGUGGGUAUCAAACAGGAUUAGAUACCACAGUAGUC